UGGGGAAUAUUGCACAAUGGGGGGAACCCUGAUGCAGCGAUGCCGCGUGGAGGAAGAAGGUUUUCGGAUUGUAAACUCCUGUCUUAAAGGACGAUAAUGACGGUACUUUAGGAGGAAGCUCCGGCUAACUACGUGCCAGCAGCCGCGGUAAUACGUAGGGAGCGAGCGUUGUCCGGAAUUACUGGGUGUAAAGGGAGCGUAGGCGGGAUUGCAAGUCAGGUGUGAAAACUAUGGGCUCAACCCAUAGACUGCACUUGAAACUGUAGUUCUUGAGUGAAGUAGAGGUAAGCGGAAUUCCUGGUGUAGCGGUGAAAUGCGUAGAUAUCAGGAGGAACACCGGUGGCGAAGGCGGCUUACUGGGCUUUUACUGACGCUGAGGCUCGAAAGCGUGGGGAGCAAACAGG
rnacentral:rRNA from 1 species